rnacentral:lncRNA from 1 species
UGCAAACUUGUAUUUCAACACAAAAAAAUCAAUUAACAAUAAAGAGAAAGGGAAGAAGAGUAGCCGAGGGGGUUAUCCAAGGCCAAUUCACAAUAAUAAGAGAAAACAGUUAAAUUGGAACGAGUUAUCUGCGACUGUUUCUUGCGGAUUCCCAUGGUGGCUCUCCUCCUUGUCUUUACGUUAAUUCAUCAAAAUGCUCUCAAGUUUCUCCCUCUGGCACUGCUCUCAUUUUCGGCAAGUAAACUACCUUAUUUUGUGGCAAACAAGUGUUUAACAAGUCAUGAGAAAGACAAGAACACUUAAGAGAUUUUUCUUUGAAAACUGGUACAUUUUUUAAUGAAGUGAAAGCCUCCUUUUAUAACCUUUAAGCCCCAACAUCCCUUGUUAUUUU